UACAGAGGUCCCAAGCGUUGUUCGGAUUCACUGGGCGUAAAGAGCGUGUAGGCGGCCAUGUAGGUCCGUUGUGAAAACUCGAGGCUCAACCUCGAGACGCCGAUGGAAACCAUGUGGCUAGAGUCCGGAAGAGGAGAGUGGAAUUCCUGGUGUAGCGGUGAAAUGCGCAGAUAUCAGGAAGAACACCCGUGGCUAAGGCGGCUCUCUAGUACGGUACUGACGCUGAGACGCGAAAGCGUGGGGAGCGAACAGG
rnacentral:rRNA from 1 species